UACGUAGGUGGCAAACGUUGUCCGGAAUUAUUGGGCGUAAAGCGCGCGCAGGCGGUCCUUUAAGUCUGAUGUGAAAGCCCCACGGCUCAACCGUGGAGGGUCAUUGGAAACUGGGGGACUUGAGUACAGAAGAGAAGAGUGGAAUUCCACGGUGUAGCGGUGAAAUGCGUAGAUAUUGGGAGGAACACCAGUGGCGAAGGCGGCUCACUGGACCGGUACUGACGCUGAUGCGCGAAAGCGUGGGGAGCAAACAGG
rnacentral:rRNA from 1 species